rnacentral:rRNA from 1 species
CGGAGGAAAAGAAACCAACAGGGAUUGCCCUAGUAACGGCGAGUGAAGCGGCAACAGCUCAAAUUUGAAAUCUGGCCUCUGGCCCGAGUUGUAAUUUGUAGAGGAUGCUUUUGGUGAGGUGCCUUCCGAGUUCCCUGGAACGGGACGCCAUAGAGGGUGAGAGCCCCGUCUGGUUGGACACCGAGCCUCUGUAAAGCUCCUUCGACGAGUCGAGUAGUUUGGGAAUGCUGCUCUAAAUGGGAGGUAUAUGUCUUCUAAAGCUAAAUACCGGCCAGAGACCGAUAGCGCACAAGUAGAGUGAUCGAAAGAUGAAAAGCACUUUGAAAAGAGGGUUAAACAGUACGUGAAAUUGUUGAAAGGGAAGCGCUUGUGACCAGACUUGGGCUUGGUCAAUCAUCCAGUGUUCUUCACUGGUGCACUUGGCCGGCCUAGGCCAGCAUCAGUUCGGUGCGGGGGAUAAAGGCCUCGGGAAUGUGGCUCCCUCGGGAGUGUUAUAGCCCGUGGUGCAAUACCCUGCGCCGGACUGAGGUUCGCGCAUCUGCAUGGAUGCUGGCGUAAUGGUCAUCAGCGACCCGUCUUGAAACACGGACCAAGGAGUCGUCUUCGUAUGCGAGUGUUCGGGUGUUAAACCCCUACGCGUAAUGAAAGUGAACGCAGGUGAGAGCUUCGGCGCAUCAUCGACCGAUCCUGAUGUUCUCGGAUGGAUUUGAGUAAGAGCAUACGGGGCCGGACCCGAAAGAAGGUGAACUAUGCCUGUAUAGGGUGAAGCCAGAGGAAACUCUGGUGGAGGCUCGCAGCGGUUCUGACGUGCAAAUCGAUCGUCAAAUAUGGGCAUGGGGGCGAAAGACUAAU